rnacentral:tRNA from 1 species
GAGGUUGUGGCUCAGUGGUAGAGCACUUACCUAGCAUGCACGAGGUACUGGGUACGAUCCCCAGCACCACA